UACGAAGGGGGCUAGCGUUGCUCGGAAUCACUGGGCGUAAAGCGCACGUAGGCGGCUUCUUAAGUCAGGGGUGAAAUCCUGGAGCUCAACUCCAGAACUGCCUUUGAUACUGAGAAGCUUGAGUCCGGGAGAGGUGAGUGGAACUGCGAGUGUAGAGGUGAAAUUCGUAGAUAUUCGGAAGAACACCAGUGGCGAAGGCGGCUCACUGGCCCGGUACUGACGCUGAGGUGCGAAAGCGUGGGGAGCAAACAGGG
rnacentral:rRNA from 1 species